GCUGUGGGGAGAGCUGAGAGCGGCCUGUCAGUAUCUAAAGGAGAACUGCAGGAAAGAAGGGGACAGACUCCUUAGCAUGGUCUGUGAUGAAAGAACGAGGGGAAAUUGUCUCCAACUAAAAGGGGAAAUUUAGAUUGGGUAUAAGCAGGAGUUCUGCUUGCAUACAUAAGACAAAUAUAGCUGUAAUAUGGAAUUUCAUGUAACCUGCAUGCUUUAUGUGAACAGUAGUGCUUUCUCUCUUUUCAAUUUCCAUGUGAGUUGACUCCUUUAUUUAAAUUUCAUAGUUUUAAUUCUUUACUCAUUGUGGUUCAUGAAGCAGUUUGACGUAAUAUAAUUGAAUGCAAUGGAAAGACAUCUGUGCUUAACCUUACUAGCCAUCAGCAGUCAUAAUUCAUAAUGACUAUAAAUGCCUUCAUAAUGAAAGAUAAUCAGUAUGAAAAUGUCAUUCAAUUUAAUUAAUUAUGGAUAUUUUGAUGGUAAUGAGCUAAUCAUUAUGAGCUUUCAGGUUUUACAUCACCAACUCAUCAUGCUUUGGAAAAAAAUGAAGUAGCAGCCAGCAAACUUAUCAUGAAACUGAAAGAUGCAUCUGAAGCUCUUUUAAACUUCUUCAGGCCAGUGACUUGCCGAUACAAAGGAAAGCAGUCUUUAGUCCCUUGUCAUGUAGGAGGGAGCAUUAAUGCAACAGAGUGUUUGGAGAAUAGAUGUUGUCCUUCCAAAGGCAGCCAUGAACUGAAAUGUUAUAUCCCAUUUAAAGACAAUUUGCAACUGACAUUUCGACUGUUUCUGCUUGGGGCGGUAGGAUUUUUAAUUUUGGGUUGUCUACCAUUAUUUUGCUGUGCCUGCUUCCAGAGGAGUGCAGUUGUGGGAAGCAGGCCUUCAAUUUCAGUUGAUCUAUUACUGGGAAUUUUCUCGUAAUGACUGCAAUUUGAUGAAUCAGCUGGUCAACUGAAAUUCAUGAAGAAAAGUCAGUGUGUCAAUCCUUUACGAAGAGCAAACAAAAAAAUAGAACAAAUUGUGCAGAACAGGAGAGCAAGUAGUGAAGAAAUGCGUAGCUUGUUAUCAAAUUGACUUAAAGACUUUGAGGAUCAUAAAAAUGAGAGAGAGAGGACCAUCCAUGUAAUAUUGAUGAACUCCAGCAGGAGGAAGACACCAGGAUUGUGCACUAACCAUGAGUAUGCUCUAGAAAAUGGGAUGAUUUGUUUUAGUAUCAAAAUAAUACACUGUUGUCAACCCUUGAUAAUGCUAUUGAUUUUGCAUUAGAAAUUGUUCAUUUCUGUUUCUUUAUACUCAUUCCAUAUCUCCUUCAUGGGAGAAAAAAAAAAAAGUAAUGCUGAAAGGGAAAAUCUGCUCAUUCCAGCUCCUCCAUGCUAAAACCACUCUAGGUACAAGUAAAGCAUCUUCACAGUUCAGAGAGAGGUCAGCCUUAGAGUACUAUCUGGAUUAAGAAGUGAUAGAAGAGAUGUUUGACGUUCAUUAAAUUGGUGCUGAGUGACAAGCGUACUGUUUUCAGGGAGCGGACACCACUGUAGCACAGCAGUGUUAUUCUUACUGAGACCACAAUUCUUUUCCUAAAUCCUCUGCAGCCAGGUAAUGUAUUGUUGGGCAGUUCCUUUAAAGACACGUCUUAGGCAAAGAACUUCAGGAAACUAGUAGCAUUUCUGCUGCUGCUGUUUCUGUUUGUGGAAUAUCACUGCACCAUAGAACUUGCUUGGAUCUUGAGGAGACCUGUCUCCCAAGGCAGGUGAUGCCAAAAUGUAAUUUCUUGCAGUUUCCCUGAAGAGUAACACAAAAUAAGAAAUGAACAUGUAAUGGAUUUGAACAGCAGAGUACAGAGUAAAAAUAGGCACUUAAAAAAAAAAAAGUCAGUAGAAAUCAAUUUCCCAAUAGUUAAAGCAACCAGUGGCCGUUUUUCCUCGUGUCUGUGAAAUACAUGUAGUAGAAUUUUCAAGAAUAGUGGUUAAUGAAUCUUUACUCUUAACCUGAAAAAUAAAGACAAUAGCCUUUAUCAGAAUAGUGAUACAUUGAAAUUGUGUACUCGUGGGAUUACCCAGUUCAUACAUUCUUCUUAGUUUUCCUAAUUCUAAAAAAGACAUCUCUUAAAGCCCAAGAGUAAUAGAGUUGAAGUACACAUAUGGGCAGUCUCAUGAAAUUGACAGAACAUAUAGACAUCACAAAAAAUUAGCAUAUGCAGAAGUUUUAAAACUUGAUAUGGCAACCAUUGCCAUUAGCACUAUAUUAGAGAUGGUUGGGAUAUAAUUUUGUAAGAAAAAGAACUGCAAUAUUUUUGAUGUUGAGCAGCAGAAUGAUGGAGACUGAAUAGUGUUCAGUUUGCCUUCCGAAUCUGUUUGUUUACUGCUUCUUGAUGUUAUUUUUAUGAGUUCUGAAAUAUGUCUGCAAACAUUUUGACAAAGAUAGAAACAAUUUCCUGCUUCUUGGAUUUAGGGGCACUGUUGCAACUGAAAUGUGCAUGCAACAAACACAUACAUCCUCUUGGGUGAAGGUAAUUAUGAGAGAGAGCUGUGUUCCAGAUUAAGUUUGACUUGGUACUUCGUGAUUUUUAUUUGAAGGGUGAUAAAUUCCUUUGUUUACAUGACACUGACAGCACAAAUGUUUUUGAUGUCUCACAACAUUCUGACAAAUGGACACGUACUGAUAAAACAACUGUAUUUAACUGAAAGCAUUCAGUGCAUCUGCAGUAAAUGUAUCCUGCAGAAUAAAAUGAACAUAAACAAAAUAUACAUACUAUAAGAGUAGGAUAUGAGAUGGAAAAGACUCAGCAAUGCUUAUAUUCCCUGUUGGAGUGGAACAUAAGAGCACCGAAUUGGAAUUGGAUCCUGUCCCUUUCAUAUCUGGCAGUUCCAUUAUAAGGAUGUUCUUAAAAGCUGAGAAGGCUUUUUGUUGGAGGAGGCAAAAACUUUGAUUUUUAGAUUGUAAUUUCUAUACCAGUUUGAGAAUUAAUUGAAUUGAAUUGGCAGCUGUUCAGCAUGGGUAUUGCAGAAUUAACUGCUAUUUCUGCCUAAAAUGGUGUGUGUGUGUGUGUGUGUGUGUGUGUGUGUGUGUGUGUGUGUGGACACAACAAACAACAGUAUAUAUUGCUUUAAAUAAAUCAACAGCAAGAGGAGGGCUAGGGAGAAUCUCCAUCUCUUGCUGGAUGCCAAGGGCAACUUAGUGACCAAGGAUCAGGAUAAGACUGAGGUGCUUAAUGCCUUCUUUGCCUCAGCCUUUAGCAGUAAGACUAGGUACUCUCUGGACAUACAGCCCCUUGUGCUGGUAGAUAGGGAUGGGAAACAGAAUAGGCCUUGCAUGAUCCAUGAUGAGAUGGUUGUGGACCUGCUUUGAAAGCUGGAUGCUCACAAGUCCAUGGGGCCGGAUGGAUUGCACCCUAGAGCACUGAGGGAGUUGGUGGAUGUGGUUGUGGUUAGGAAGAGUGGCUGGAAAGCUGCCUGAUGGAA